UAAGACCCCUUUGUCAUCGUUAGAG
rnacentral:siRNA from 1 species